UGAGGGUUCAAAUAUGAGCAAUGGAGGUGCACAGAGCACACAGGGAAGACCCAAAGCGGAUGACUUUGGUUGGGCGGUGUCGAGAAUUGCAGUUGCGCAAAUAUGCGGGGCCCUGGGGUUUCAAGGUUUCAAAGGUUCGGCUUUGGAUGCACUUACUGAUUUAGCAAUCCGUUACCUCAUUGACCUUGGCAAGACUGCAAGCUCUCACGCUAAUUCAUCAGGUAGAACCCAAUGUAAUUUACUUGACAUAGUUCGAGGGUUUGAAGAUAUGGGUGCACCACGAGGGAUUUCGGGUGCAUCAAAUUCUGGCA
rnacentral:misc_RNA from 1 species